GAUGAACGCUGGCGGCGUGCUUAACACAUGCAAGUCGAACGAAGCACUUUAUUUGAUUUCCUUCGGGACUGAUUAUUUUGUGACUGAGUGGCGGACGGGUGAGUAACGCGUGGGUAACCUGCCUUGUACAGGGGGAUAACAGUUGGAAACGGCUGCUAAUACCGCAUAAGCGCACGGCAUCGCAUGAUGCAGUGUGAAAAACUCCGGUGGUAUAAGAUGGACCCGCGUUGGAUUAGCUAGUUGGUGAGGUAACGGCCCACCAAGGCGACGAUCCAUAGCCGACCUGAGAGGGUGACCGGCCACAUUGGGACUGAGGCACGGCCCAAACUCCUACGGGAGGCAGCAGUGGGGAAUAUUGCACAAUGGGCGAAAGCCUGAUGCAGCGACGCCGCGUGAGCGAAGAAGUAUUUCGGUAUGUAAAGCUCUAUCAGCAGGGAAGAUAAUGACGGUACCUGACUAAGAAGCACCGGCUAAAUACGUG
rnacentral:rRNA from 1 species